UCGGGAAUUUUGGGCAAUGGGGGAAACCCUGACCCAGCAACGCCGCGUGAAGGAUGAAGUAUUUCGGUAUGUAGACUUCGAAAGAAUAGGAAGAAUAAAUGACGGUACUAUUUAUAAGGUCCGGCUAACUACGUGCCAGCAGCCGCGGUAAUACGUAGGGACCAAGCGUUGUUCGGAUUUACUGGGCGUAAAGGGCGCGUAGGCGGCAUGACAAGUCACUUGUGAAAUCUCUGGGCUUAACCCAGAACGGCCAAGUGAUACUGUCGCGCUAGAGUGCAGAAGGGGCAAUCGGAAUUCUUGGUGUAGCGGUGAAAUGCGUAGAUAUCAAGAGGAACACCUGAGGUGAAGACGGGUUGCUGGGCUGACACUGACGCUGAGGCGCGAAAGCCAGGGGAGCAAACGGGAUUAGAUACCCAAGUAGUCCCUGAGCGGGCUGGCAAGGCGCAU
rnacentral:rRNA from 1 species